AUCGGCGGAGGCCUGCAACAACAACGGCCGCGCGGGCGAGCAAUCGAGGAGGCCGGGAAUCACCAGAUCCGGAAGGACGGCGGCCCGAUUCGGAGAGGGAGCAACCCGAUCUGUGUCAUUGAGGCUCAUUAUCCAGGGUCGUUGGGUCUGUUGAGCUCGGUAUCGACGGCAGCAGUAGCUCGGGCAAGAUGGAAGAAACGUGUUAGACACGGCCUCCUCCGAGAGCAUACACCAGCGACGUGCAGGAGGCCGAGGCCAAAGCCGAUCUUCCCCAACCCCAUCUGGCAUUAUAACUUGGAUUGGGAGCAGAUUCAUUCGCAGGUCAGCAAGCUAGCUGAAAAUUUGGUGAGAGGCGACAGUUGGUAG
rnacentral:lncRNA from 1 species